ACCCGGCUAGCUCAGUCGGUAGAGCACGAGACUCUUAAUCUCGGGGUCGUGAGUUCAAGCCCCACGUUGGGCG
rnacentral:tRNA from 1 species